CAGUUCUGCGUGCGUCUGUGCCAGUGCACCUGCGUUAAAAUCACCAUCAACGGGGAUAUCCGAGCACAAAUUUCUCUACAGUCCACCACCGCCAUUGCAACAACAACUUCACACCAUGCAAGUGUUGUCGAUUGAACUGCCUGCCUUGAAGGCGGGCGAGAAGGCGCUUGAGUGGCCUCAGACGCAGCCAGGCGUCACCGACGAUGCCGUCGCGGCCGAUGCACCGCCGCAACUGAACCGCUGGAUCGAGGCGUACCGCAUCAUUCCGCUAGGAGAGGCGUUCUGUCGCAGUGUCGCCCUCACAACGCAGCUGCGGCACGAGGAUGCACGUAUGCAGCAAGCACAUGCCGACCCCAAUGUGGCGCAGCAGUGGGCCGCGGAGGAGGUCGAUGGCAUUGCCGCUGGCGCAGACGGCGAGGGUGCAAACGAUGCAGACGACGACGGCGUCGGUGACGGUGCCCGUUACCAGUCCUCCUCCCGCAAGAAGAAAUUCGUGAAGCUGGCGGACAGCGACAUGCUGAUUGACUGGUACGAGGUGCUGAAGCUGGAGCAGGAGGAAGGGGCGACAGACGACCAAAUCAAAGCGGCCUACCGACGCCGCUGCCUCGAGACGCACCCCGACAAGCAGCAGAACCACUCCGAUGAACUCUUCAAGAAGGUGCAACGUGCCUUCGACAUCCUUGGCGACCCAGACACGCGCCAGGCCUACGACUCCUCGCGCCCGUUCAACGACGCCAUCCCUGGCGAGCAGGUGGAGGAGGCCGACUUCUUCAGCACCUUCGGCCCCGUCUUCGAACGCAACAAGAAGUGGAGCAGCGUCCCCGGCAUGCCAUCCCUCGGCACGGAUAAGACGCCGUACGCCGAGGUACUCCGCUUCUACGACCGCUGGACGGGUUUUCAGAGCUGGCGCGACUUCUCACACCUGGCGGAUCUGGUGGAAAUCGACGACACCAUGUGCCGCGAGGAGAAGCGCUACUAUCAGCGCGAGAACGCGCGCCAGCUGAGCCACCACCGCAGGGAGGAGCAGAAGCGCAUCCGACUUCUGGUCGAGCGGGCGCGCAAGAACGACCCGCGCCUGCGCCGCCGCCGAGAAGAGGAGGAAGAGAAGCGCCUCAAAGUGUUGAGGGAACGGGAAACAUUCCGGCUGCAGCUCGCCGCCGAGGAGGAGCGUCGCCGCGCUGAAGAGGCCCGAAAGCAGAAGGAGAGGGAAGAGGCCAAGGUGGGCGCGCAGCAGCAAGAGAAGCAGGCGAUGCGCGAGGUGCAGAUGGCGGUUCUGCGCUUCUUUGAACAGCAUGGGCUCCUGGACGAAACCCCGACAAACAAGCUCCUCGCAGACCGUGUGCGCCGUCCGAACGUGCAGUGGAUCUUCUCCAAGACCACCAACGCGACCGAGGCGCAGAAGCUGCGCGAUGUCCUACUGGCCUGCCCCACGGAUCGCCGGCCACGCACGAACGACCCGCAGAGCAAAGAUGUGGAAGGCGCCGAGGAGGUGGAGGCCGUCAUGCGCUUCAACGCGCUCAUUCAAAAGAUGGAACAACGCUGCGGCGUGAACCGCUACGGCGAGGCCGUGAAGAAGGUGCAGGACGGCGAUGCGGCCACGGCUGCAGCGAAGAAGAACGAAGUCGCGGCGGCAGCAGCAAAGGCCCCUGUCGACGCAGGACAGGAAUGGACGGACGAGGACCUAAGCCGGUUGCAGAAGGCGACGGCCAAGUACCCGCCUGGUUCCGUCGAUCGCUGGAUCAAGAUCUGCGACGUGCUCCGUCACCGCUUUACGGAGGAGCAGGCCAUGGCCAAGGUGAGCGAGCUAACUGCUGCGCUGCACAAUGCAGGGUCUGGCAACCCCACUGCUACCGCCGCCGCCUCCCCCUCGCACGCCUCGGCCACCAGCACAGCUGCCUCGUCCGUGGAGAACUGGUCUCUGAAGCAGCAGAAGCAGCUGGAGCAGGGUCUGCGUGACUUGAAGGAUUAUAAGGAGAAGGACAAGUUCCAGAAAAUCGCGAAGAUGGUAGAGGACAAGACAGCCAAAGAGUGUUUUGAGCGCUUCAAGUUCCUCUGCUCUGUGAACAAGAAGAAAUAAUGCGCCGCAUGUCUAGCGCCUGCGUGCGUGCAAGGGCUGUGGCGCACCGUUGAGAAGCGUCACGUGCAACGCCGCCUGAGAUAAGAGCAUGGUAAAACUGUGGUGAUUCAAGCACAUGUACGUGCACUCAGCACGCCGGUGUGCCUGAAUCUCUUUUUUUUACUUGUGCGCGUGUGCCCGUGCGUGCAGCCGCUUUUUUUUUUCGUUUCCCCGUAUCUGGUGUUGCGUCUAAUGGCACAAGCAAGCAACGUCUGUGUGGCGGAGCAACGGUCUCUGCCUGUCUGUCUGCUGUUGUGUGCAAGGGGGUGGGCGGGAAAGACAGUGCUUGCGUAUUCUCUUUGCGGCCAUGAGCUGCGAGCCACCUCCGCCCCUUUCAGGCCUUGUCUUUUCGCUUUUCCUGUGAUAC
rnacentral:misc_RNA from 1 species